rnacentral:misc_RNA from 1 species
GAAAUGCGAUAAUUAAUGUGAAUUGCAGAAUUCAGUGAAUCAUCGAGUCUUUGAACGCACAUUGCGCCGCCUGGUAUUCCGGGGGGCAUGCCUGUCCGAGCGUCAUUGCUGCCCUCAAGCACGGCUUGUGUGUUGGGCUUCCGUCCCUGGCAACGGGGACGGGCCCAAAAGGCAGUGGCGGCACCAUGUCUGGUCCUCGAGCGUAUGGGGCUUUGUCACCCGCUCCCGUAGGUCCAGCUGGCAGCUAGCCUCGCAACCAAUCUUUUUAACCAGGUUGACCUCGGAUCAGGUAGGGAUACCCGCUGAACUUAAGC